UGAGAAGAAUCUCCAAUUUCAGCACAAACUUUGCCACCAAACCACUGAAGGAAAUGAAUCAAUACUGGGUGUCAUUUAUUCACAUCAAUCUUGAGCAUGAGUCAAGUUUCCUACUAUUGCGUACACUUUUUCUUCAACUUGGAUUUAUCAGCCUGCUAUGACAUCCUCACAUACAGUAACAUCUCCUGGUCUUUCAUUUGGUGUGAUAGUAUCUUUCACAUAUUGGAUCAAAUUCUAUUACCUUCUUAUUAGUGUGCUAAGAAUUAAAGUGCUUCCCAUUGCCCAUUUUAAUCCCAAAAGAAAAAUUGCUUUUGUCUCUUGGAUUGAAAAAAGAAUUCCUCAUAAGCACAAAGGUGCACCCUCUUGGGUAUUUUCAUUUUGUACUGCUUCAAAAGCAACCCUCAUUUUAGGAACCAAACUGGUUCUAGAGAAACCCAGAGCAGGUACAGGAUCCAGUAAUAAAGUGGCCAUCAAGAUAAUGCAGAAUAAGCUUCCAUUUCAAUUUUUAGUUAUGUUGAAAAAAUCUAUUUAAAAUGCUUGCAUAGAACUCACAGAUCCCAAAGAACACAUCUGAGG
rnacentral:lncRNA from 1 species